AGGGUUGCCAUUUGCGCUGGGAAUACAGACCUUGAAUAUAUACCCAAACUUAACCCCGCAAACCUGGGUUUUAUAAGCCUCUCAGCGCCCACCCUUCCCCUGACACGGUAGGGGUCAAGGGUUCAAAUCCCUUCGUGCCUACCA
rnacentral:tRNA from 1 species